rnacentral:rRNA from 1 species
UACGUAGGGUGCAAGCGUUAUCCGGAUUCACUGGGUUUAAAGGGUGCGUAGGAGGGCAGGUAAGUCAGGGGUGAAAGCCCAGAGCUCAACUCUGGAACUGCCUUUGAAACUAGAGGACUUGGGUACGGGAGAGGUGAGUGGAAUUCCGAGUGUAGAGGUGAAAUUCGUAGAUAUUCGGAAGAACACCAGUGGCGAAGGCGGCUCACUGGCCCGUUACCGACGCUCAGGCGCGACAGCGUGGGGAGCAAACAGG